AAGUGAAAGUUCACUACAUUUGCUAUUUUUCCUGUCAUUCUAAUACAUUAUUGCUGUUGAUUUGAGGUCCUUAACGUCUUCCGUGAGCACAACUCUUUUUACUCUGUCUAUCUGUGGGCCUGUGAAUAAAAUCGUAAAAUGACAUUCACGUGUCUGCAGUGGAUGAGUUCGCUGUCUGCAUAGCUGUGCUGGGGAAGCAGCAAGGGCAGAAUAUAGCCGCGUUUCCACUGGAGGAACUUUCCCCAGGAACCAGG